rnacentral:rRNA from 1 species
UACGUAGGGUGCAGGCGUUAAUCGGAAUUACUGGGCGUAAAGCGUGCGCAGGCGGUUUGCUAAGACAGGUGUGAAAUCCCCGGGCUUAACCUGGGAACUGCGCUUGUUACUGGCAGGCUUGAGUGUGGCAGAGGGGGGUGGAAUUCCAGGUGUAGCAGUGAAAUGCGUAGAAUAUUGGGAAGAACACCAGUGGCGAAAGCGGACUUCUGGGUUGUUACUGACGCUGAGGUACGAAAGCGUGGGGAGCAAACGGG